UAUGAGUUAUACCUAUACUUACUCCAAUCACACCAAUCAGACCCCAGCUGACCAUAAGUACUAGUGAAAGUCAACAACACCAGUCCAUAGUAGAUAUGCAUUGCCAGAGCAUACUACUUCAACCAACCUCUGAAUCUUCAUAUUCUCACUCCUUGAAAGAACUGCCACUUCUGAUCGUGGUGUUUGAAUAACAAGAUUCAUGG
rnacentral:lncRNA from 1 species